GGACGCUUCAUAAAGCGAGACGUCCAGGUUGAUGUUGCCCCAGUAAAGCUGGUCAAGCUUGAUGUGACAGACCAAAAGCUUUGGGUCAGUCCAAAGCAAGUGGGCAUUGGCAUGGGAGCCACAGCUGCCCUCAAGGCAGUCAGAGUGGUGGAAGUGAGCGUGAUGUGUUACUGUUCAUGCGAGACAGCCAGAGUGCUCGUUCAAAAAUGUGUCCGAACAUUCUAUUGAAGUGCCCCCUGAAGUACCCCUCUGUCC
ensembl:lncRNA